GUGCAGUAGGGAAUCUUCCGCAAUGGGCGAAAGCCUGACGGAGCAAUGCCGCGUGAGUGAUGAAGGUUUUCGGAUCGUAAAGCUCUGUUGCCAGGGAAGAACGCUUGGGAGAGUAACUGCUCUCAAGGUGACGGUACCUGAGAAGAAAGCCCCGGCUAACUACGUGCCAGCAGCCGCGGUAAUACGUAGGGGGCAAGCGUUGUCCGGAAUUAUUGGGCGUAAAGCGCGCGCAGGCGGUCAUUUAAGUCUGGUGUUUAAUCCCGGGGCUCAACCCCGGAUCGCACUGGAAACUGGGUGACUUGAGUGCAGAAGAGGAGAGUGGAAUUCCACGUGUAGCGGUGAAAUGCGUAGAUAUGUGGAGGAACACCAGUGGCGAAGGCGACUCUCUGGGCUGUAACUGACGCUGAGGCGCGAAAGCGUGGGGAGCAAACAGGAUUAGAUACCCCCCUNGWAAUCAANGG
rnacentral:rRNA from 1 species